rnacentral:misc_RNA from 1 species
UUUUAAGAGCAUGACAAGAUGAGACCUGUUUUGUAUUUUGUUUUGACGACUGUUUCGAUAGUUGUUGCGAAAUCAUCAGAAUGGGAUAUGUUCGCCUUGAGCUUAACAUGGCCAGUAACACUUUGUAAAUUCAGUGAACUGAAUAAACCGCCUCAAAAAUGUGUAAUCUCGUCAAAACUGUGGACAAUUCACGGUCUUUGGCCAAGUGCCAGAAAUAGAGAUCACGACCCUGAAAAUUGCCCGAUAUCCAAACCCUUUAAUGAAAACGAGAUCCAGAAUUUAUUGGAACCUUUGAACAAAUACUGGCCGAAUCAAUUUCCAAGAACUCCAAAAUGUUCAUUCUGGAAACAUGAAUGGGAAAAGCAUGGCAGAUGUGCAACAGAAGUGAGAGAAACAGGGAGCGAGCAUCUCUAUUUCAACAAAACUCUUUCUCUGCGUAUGAAAUACAACAUUGACGAAAUUUUAUCUUCUGCCGGUAUCAAGCCUGGGGAAACGUACCAGCUGCAAGACAUCAAAAGUGCUUUAAAACAAAAAUUGGGAAGCAAACCAAUCAUAUUAUGCGAAAGUUCACUGGAUAUCGGCGAUGGUAAUAUGCAUGGAUAGGAAGUUCCAACUAUUUGAUUGUCCAGAGAAAAGGAUAGCAGAGAGAGCGUAUUUCAACACACCGCUGCCGCCACACGAUCGGUGCCGAGCAGAAGUGUUUUAUCCAAUGAAAUAGUAAUGAGAAUAAUGAUGUAUUCUUCAUGAAGUAUUCCAACACGCUACUGGCUGAUAAUAAAGCAACACUGUAGUCAUUUUUUAUAGAACUCUGAGAACAUUUAGACAGAUGAAUUGAUUGAAAAUAGAAAUGAAAUGAAACCAAAAAUUUAAAUAACACUGUUUGACACUGACAGAACUUACGUAUAUGAAAAAAACUUGCGGUACAUUUAUAUUCAAUAGUACCCUGUAUUUAAAGAUUGGUUUUGUAGGUUUUUUUAUUUACCUGUGUGUAUAGGUUUUAAACCGUGUUUCAAACAUUUAUUUUUUUAACAAAAAUUACAUGCGUUUCAUUUUUACAUGAUUAAAACUCAUUAUCAUU